rnacentral:lncRNA from 1 species
UUUAUUUUGUUGCUUGAGCUGGGGAGGUGUUGGAAUUGGACUAGAACUCUGUGGUUGAAUUUGAAUGGGGAGUUGGAGUAAAUCAAUGAGAAAAUUCAGUGGAGGGAUUGGGGGAGUUUUUGAAGGGUUUUGAAAUGGGAGAAGCGAGAGCCGAUUGAGGGGAAUUUUGUUUAGGCAAAUUCGACUAGGGAGUGCAUUUGGUGCAUUUUCGACAAUUGCUUUCUUUUAUGCCGAUUUGUUUUAUUUUCUCUCUUCUAUCGAUAGUGCCAAAUAUUGCCAUAGACCUUUUUGGGUGUUUUUCCUGUUUCGAUUUUCUUUAUUCUUUUCUCCCUGUUUCCUAUUUUUCU